rnacentral:tRNA from 1 species
AUUUAAAUAAUUUAAUACAAAAUAUUGAUUUGUGGUAUCAAAAAUGUAAAUAAUUUACUUUAGAUU